AGAGUUUGAUCCUGGCUCAGAACGAACGUUGGCGGCGUGGAUGAGGCAUGCAAGUCGAACGCGAAAGCCGCAAGGUGAGUAGAGUGGCGGACGGGCGAGUAACACGUAAUCAAGCUACCUGCGAGACGGGGAUAACUUCGGGAAACCGAAGCUAAGACCCGAUGGUCUGCCGGGACCGCAUGGUUCUGGUAGUAAAUGGGCGGGAUCUUUCGGGAUCGCCUGCUCGCAGAGGUGAUUGCGGCCCAUCAGCUAGUUGGUAGGGUAACGGCCUACCAAGGCAACGACGGGUAGCCGGCCUUAGAGGGUGGUCGGCCGCACUGGGACUGAGACACUGCCCAGACUCCUACGGGAGGCUGCAGUCGAGAAUCUUCCGCAAUGGGCGAAAGCCUGACGGAGCGACGCCGCGUGGAGGACGAAGGCCUUCGGGUUGUAAACUCCUGUCACGAGUUAAGAAGGUGGUUCUUCGAACAGAGGGAUCAUUUGACGUAAGCUCGAGAGGAAGCACUGGCUAACUCUGUGCCAGCAGCCGCGGUAAUACAGAGAGUGCAAACGUUGUUCGGAAUUACUGGGCUUAAAGCGCGCGUAGGCUGCAUCGUAAGUGUCUGGUGAAAUCCCACGGCUCACCCGUGGAACUGCCAGGCAUACUGCGGUGCUAGAGUGUGGUAGGGGAGAGCGGAACUCCUGGUGGAGCGGUGAAAUGCGUAGAUAUCAGGAGGAACACCGGUGGCGAAGGCGGCUCUCUGGUCCACAACUGACGCUGAGGUGCGAAAGCUAGGGGAGCAAACGGGAUUAGAUACCCUGGUAGUCC
rnacentral:rRNA from 1 species